rnacentral:lncRNA from 1 species
CAACUUGAGGUAGCUUGUGCUGGUCCCUGCAGACGGCUUCCCAUUUUUAUGACCGGAUGCUGGGAAGCCUGCUGGUCCACAGGUCCAUACAUGAAGUCACCAUAAGGAGCCCUGGCCUCCUUGCAGAAACAUCGAGGUGACAUGUAGCAUGACCGAGCUCGCUGGCGCCUCUUCAUCGUGCUGCCACCGCCCUGCAGGAAGAGGGGCCAUGCAGUCAGUCUUGCACCACUUUCAACGUUUGCGAGGGAGAGAGGGUGGUUCCCACUUCAUCAACACCUCAUCGCCGCGAGGUGAGGCUAAGAUGAGCAUAACCAGUGACGAGGUGAACUUUCUGGUGUAUCGGUAUCUCCAGGAGUCAGGUUUUUCCCACUCGGCUUUCACGUUUGG